AGAACGAACGCUGGCGGCGUGGAUAAGACAUGCAAGUCGAACGCUAAUUAGCCUGCAGCAAUGUAGGUUAGUUGGAGUGGCGCAAGGGUGCGUAACACGUGGGUAAUUUGCCGUGAAGUUGGGGAUAACUCGCUGAAAGGCGAGCUAAUACCGGAUGUGAUUUUUGGGAGGCAUCUUCUGGAAAUCAAAGUUGGGGACCGCAAGGCCUGACGCUUCAUGAUAAGCCCGCGGCCUAUCAGCUAGUUGGUGAGGUAACGGCUCACCAAGGCUAUGACGGGUAGCUGGUCUGAGAGGACGACCAGCCACACUGGAACUGAGACACGGUCCAGACCA
rnacentral:rRNA from 1 species